rnacentral:lncRNA from 1 species
ACAAAUCAACAAAAAUUCACUCAAAUAUUUCCAAUUCGCAGCAACUGAUUUACUUCACUCAUUCAAGCUGGUAAUUUUUAAUAACUUUUGAAAAGUUAUUUCAUUUCAAGCAUAUCAACAAUUUUCUGCAUUUUCGCCAAAACCAAGGCUAAACAUCAAAAACUUUGUUUUCAAAAUCCAAUCAUGCAUACAUCUAUUCUUCUGUAAUUUAUAUAUAUUGCUAAAUACAUGAAAAAGAAAAUAGAAAUAGAAGGAUGGAAUUGUGGUGAGCGGAUGCUGGACAGCCGGUGAAGCGCGACAUCGACAACCCCUAUGUUGAUGGCCGCCGGACUGAGGGCGCGAAGCAGGAGACAGGGGCGGCGGCGCUGUAGUCUCGGGUCGCCGGAGAAGGCGCGGCCGCGGUUGCAGCUGGUGCGGCGAGGACAGGGGCAGGAGGAGAGUGAGAGGGAGACUAGAGGUGAGGACAAGGAGAGAGGGCGGCGGCGGCAGUACUGGAAGGGGAGGCGGCUGGGCGCGCCUCUGUCGACACUGGGACGGCGGUGGUGGCUUGCGUUCGGCCAGAGAGAGGAAGGAGGAGGAGUCGCCGCCUCCGGCCGCGGCUUGGCGCGACGAGGAGAGGCAAGAGACCGAGGGAGAGAGGGAAGAGGGAGAAGUGGAGCAGCUGUGGGCGUGAGCUAUGUGUGUUGUGGUGUGAGUUAGAUUAGGGAUUUAAGGGAGUAGAAGGAAAUAUGGGCUUAGGAAUGGGCUCAGAUUAAUUAAGUAAUUGGGCUGCAUUUAUUUUGCUCUUGGGCUGCAUAAUUCUUUUAAUUAAAUUGGACUUGGUAUUUUUUUUUUACACUAACCCAAAUUUUAAAGUAAACAUGCAUCUCAUUAUUUAUUUCAUUUUAUUAUAUUUAAUGGAUUAAGAAUUUUAUAAAUCAAAUACUCAAGUUUUAAUUAAAUAAAUAUCAACCCACCCAUAUUUUUUUAUUAAGAAAAUAUAUUUUACUACUUAAAUUUAUUAGAUCAAUUAUUUUUAAAUUAGAUCCUAUAGUUUAUAUUAUUUUCCUAAAAGUUCAAAUAGGCCCUUAUGUAUUAUUAUUUGAAUUUAUAUGACUAGGUGCGGUCGCGACUAGGACAUAACUGUUGAUCUGUAAAUUAUUCAAGUUAUCUAUCAAAUCCAUAUUUUCAGGUGUGGGAUUUAUUUCAGUACAUGCACGUGGUUAAUAUUUGUCCAUUUUAAUAUUAUGUGUUUACCGUAUGUGUUGUAAAAAUAUUUAUCGCUAGGGGCCAGCAUAAUUGGUCCAGGACUUCACCGUCCUUGGUAUGCCACAAUGCGAUUUCAUGUUACAGGGUUGCAACCAUUAUAUUGUCGCCAGGGGCCCACAUAUAGGGUCCGGGACAUUAAAGUCCUUGGAUUGCCACAGUGCGUAUGGAAGUUAUGUUACGUUAUGACAAUAUGUGUUACCAUUUUAUUAACAUGGACAAUUAUUGCAUGUUCCCACACUGAGUGUACCUGUAUGCUCAUCCCAUAUUCAACAGUUUCAGGUGAUUGAUAUCGGAGGUCGCGUGGAGAGUCGAAUGGGCGCGUCGAAUCUAUUUAAAGAUAAAUGUUUCCUAAAACAUAUUAUGUUAUUUCAUGUGAUAUCUCUUGAUUAUGUAAACUCUGAAAUUCUAUACUAUUUGAGAUUUGUGUGUGAUUUGUUUAAAUAAAUGUUAUUAUAUUAUUUUAAUGUCAUGACUUGUUUAAUUUAUAUUUAAAUUCAUUUCAAAUAUUUAUUUAAGAAUUUAUAUCUUUACGAAAAUAUAUACAUGGAUACAUACAUAAUUUUUAAUAUAUAAAGAUUUUAUUUUGUUAUAUUUUCCGCUGCUAAAAAGAUAUUAUUUUAUACUUAGAGUUUUUCCUUAGUAAAAGUUUUUAUUAAUUAGUUAAUUAUUUUUCUGACAUCUUCAUGUCGUGCUUUGAAAAUAAAGUUGUUUAAAUUUAUGAAUUCAAAAUCAAGUUUUAUAUUUGAAUACAUUAUUGAAAAUUUUGAUAUCUUAUAAAUCGUUUUAAAAGUGCUUUAAAAACCAAUUUUAUUUAAAGAUUUCUUUUUCUUAAAAUUAUUUUCGAAAAUAUUUAUUUUAAAAGUGAGUUUUAAAUUAUUUUAAAAGACUUCCGCAUUAAAUAUUUAUUUAAAUUUUAUAUUUAACUCCUUAAUUAGAUUAGGGUGUUACAGCAUGGUAUCAGAGCAGGUCUACUUUCCUGUAGACUCUGCAAAAUAAAAAUUUUCUUAGAGUCUGCAAAAUAAAAAUUUUCUUAAACUGUUUUAGUCAAGUGAAAAUCCAUUCGACCUCUACGUGCUCCGACUAAGGUAAAAGUUAUUUUAAAAGUUUUAAGGGGAUGAGUAUAAACUGUUUAUAUUCCGAAUUUAUGUUAAAUUUGCUGCAAUAAUUGAAGUUGUUAUCAGAAAGUUCAAGUUCAUUAUGCAAGUUAUUAUGAGAAAGUUCAGUAUACAAGUUAUUAUGUUGAAGAUUAAUUGCAGCAAUGAAUUUAUUUCAGAAAUUAUUUCAGUUCAUGAUGUUAAAGUAUGAUUCACGAAAAUUUAUUUUUUGAACAUAGUCCUCGAAUUACGAAUAACCUAGAAUUUUCUUUUAGUAUCAUUCUCUCAAGCGAGUGUAGAAUAGAAACUGAUAGUGCCUUUGAAUAUAGAACAAUGAGGAAUACACGCGCACAGUCCCACAACGCCGAGAGUUCAAAUACUAAUCACGAAGCAGAAGCAGGACGAACUCAUCCAACAAAUGGAGGAGACUUCAUGGGUCAAUUCUUGAGCGCUUUACAGGGUUUUGUCCAACAGCAGGCCCAAACUCAGGCUACCCAAACCGACCUAAACCGAACCUCUAACACGAUAGAUCAAGCUGUAGAGCGAUUUCGGAACUAUAAUCCACCACGAUUCAAUGGACGUGAUGGACCACUAGCAGCCGAAGAGUGGUUGGAAGAGCUCGAACGUAUCUUCACUCACAUCAACUGUAGUGAUGAGCAGAAAGUUUCAUGCGCUGUUUUUCAACUCAAAGAGGACGCUCGACAAUGGUGGAAACAUUUCUAUCGCUUGUUGGGAGAAAGAAGUUGCUAUUCAAGGAUCAAAGUUAAGGAAAAUGCCCAUGGUGAUAUCUGCUAUGAAGGCGAUGAAGAUAUUGAAUAAAGGAGGCUGCAACGCUUAUUUGGUGAGCAUAGUAGGCAAGGAAAAUGAUGAACUCACCCUUGAAAAUGUUCCAGUAGUAUGCGAAUUCUCCGACGUUUUCCCCGAAAAUCUACCUGGAAUACCACCUGAUAGGCAAGUAGAGUUUACGAUCGAUUUGUUACCUGGAGUAGCACCUGUUUCGAAAGCACCGUAUAGAAUGGCACCAAAGGAAUUGGAGGAAUUGAAGACACAAUUACAAGAACUUUUGGACCUAGGGUUUAUUCGACCAAGUGUAUCACCCUGGGGAGCGCCAGUCUUGUUUGUCAAGAAGAAAGACGGAACAAUGCGGAUGUGUAUCGACUAUCGAGAACUCAAUCAACUCACCAUCAAGAACAAGUAUCCUCUGCCAAGGAUAGAGGAUUUAUUCGAUCAGUUGAAAGGAGCAGGAGUGUUUUACAAAAUCGAUUUGAGGUCGGGUUAUCACCAACUCAAAAUAAAGGAAGGUGAUAUACCAAAGACGGCUUUUCGAACGAGAUAUGGCCAUUACGAAUUCGUAGUCAUGCCUUUUGGUUUAACAAACGCCCCUGCGGUAUUUAUGGAUUUGAUGAACCGCGUUUUCCAUCCUUAUUUGGAUAAGUUUGUCAUAGUGUUCAUUGAUGACAUUCUGAUAUAUUCUAAGGACAAAGCGCAACACGAAGAACAUCUCAGAAUCACUUUGGAAACCUUAUGAAAUGAGAAACUCUACGCCAAAUUUAAGAAGUGUGAAUUUUGGCUAGAUCAAGUUGUCUUUCUCGGUCAUGUGGUGAGUGCUAAUGGAAUUAAGGUGGACCCAGCGAAGGUGGAAGCUGUAAAUAACUGGAAGGCACCUACCAACGCCAGUGAAGUGAGAAGUUUCUUAGGGCUCGCUGGUUAUUAUAGAAGAUUCAUCGAGGGAUUUUCAAAGAUAGCAGGCUCAAUGACACAACUAACCAGAAAGGAGUUGUGUUCAAGUGGACUGAUCAAUGCGAGCAGAGGUUUUCAGGAAUUGAAAAGAAGGUUAACAACAGCACCAGUGUUGACCAUACCCGAUGAAUCAGGAAAUUUCGUCAUUUAUACCGACGCCUCGAAGCAAGGUCUGGGAUGUGUUUUAAUGCAGAAAGGAAAGGUUAUCGCUUACGCGUCAAGGCAGUUGAAGACGCACGAACAUAACUACCCUACGCAUGAUUUGGAGCUAGCAGCCGUAGUGCACGCACUAAAGAUUUGGAGACAUUACUUGUAUGGGGGAAAAUGUGAGAUCUUCACAGAUCAUAAGAGUUUGAAAUAUUUCUUCACGCAAAAGGAGUUGAAUAUGAGGCAAAGAAGGUGGCUAGAACUCGUGAAGGAUUAUGAUUGUACCAUACAGUAUCACCCUGGAAAGGCUAAUGUGGUGGCCGAUGCACUUAGCAGAAAAGGAGAAGGACAACUAGUCUCAAUGAUAACUCAACAAGAAACCUUGAUAAAAGAAUUUGAAAGGAUGAAUCUCGAGGUGGUUAGUCCAAAUACCCCAGAGGCUACGCUUGCAGCACUAGUUGUUAAACCUACAUUGCGUGAUCGUAUUAGAAAAGCGCAGGAGACCAACAGCUUCCUCCAGAAAAUGAAAAGUAAGGGGUUAAAAGACAAUAAUACAAGUUUCUCAUUGGCAAGUGAUGGAACACUUACAUAUGCAGGGAGAAUUUGCGUCCCUAAGGAUAAAGAAUUGAUAAGAGAAAUUUUGGAUGAGGCGCACUGCACGACUUACACAGCACACCCAGGAAGCACUAAGAUGUACAAAGAUCUUCGAAAUAUAUUUUGGUGGAGAGGAAUGAAGAGGUCAAUAGCUGAGUAUGUUGGAAGAUGUAUGACAUGUCAACAAGUGAAAGCUGAACAUCAACGACCGUCGGGAUUGCUAAAUCCAUUGGAGAUACCCGAAUGGAAAUGGGAACACAUUACGAUGGACUUCGUGGUGAGACUUCCAAGAACAAUACGUGGACACGAUGCAGUUUGGGUAGUUGUAGAUCGACUCACUAAGUCCGCACACUUCAUUCCAGUAAAAAUGACAUACUCAAUGGACCAAUUGGCGAGACUGUAUGUUCAAGAGGUGGUUAGACUACAUGGAGUGCCAGUAUCUAUUGUCUCUGAUCGAGAUCCAAGAUUUACAUCCAGAUUCUGGAAAAGCUUACACGCAGCUAUGGGAACUAAACUUAACUUUUCAACAGCAUAUCAUCCUCAAACAGACGGACAAUCCGAAAGGACUAUACAAAUUUUGGAAGAUAUGUUGCGGACUAGUAUCAUGGAUAUUGGAGGCACUUGGGAAACUCAUCUACCAUUAAUCGAGUUUGCAUACAACAACAGUUUUCAAACAACUCUUAGAAUGGCUCCGUAUGAGGCAUUAUAUGGGAGAAAGUGUAGAUCGCCAUUAUAUUGGGACGAAGUUGGUGAACGAAAAGUGUUAGGUCCGGAAAUCAUUGAGAAGACGGUUGAGGUCAUUGAGAAGAUAAAGGAGAGGAUUAAAAUGGCGCAGGAUCGACAGAAAUCUUAUGCAGAUCGCAGAAGAAAGGAGUUAUAUUUCGAGGUUGGUGAAAAAGUAUUUAUCAAAGUAGCACCAAUGAAAGGAGUUCUACGAUUCGGAAAGAAAGGAAAAUUGAGACCUCGAUUUAUUGGACCGUUUGAAAUCCUAGAACGCAUAGGUGAUGUUGCCUAUCGUCUAGCUUUAACACCAGAAUUGUCAGCAGUGCACAAUGUGUUUCACGUUUCCAUGUUGCGAAAGUAUCUGCACGAUCCUAGUCACAUCGUCCAUUAUGAAAAUCUCCAAAUCAACAAGGACCUUACAUACGAAGAAGAGCCAAGUGUUAUAUUAGAUCGAAAAGUAAAGGUCUUGCGAGGUAAAGAAAUACCCUUAGUCAAAAUUCAAUGGACUAGGCACGGACCUGAUGAAGCUACUUGGGAACGUGAAGAAGAAAUUCUAGCUCGAUAUCCCCAGUUAGAACCAAGUAAGUUAAAUUUCGAGGACGAAAUUUUAUUUAAGUGGGUAGGGUUGUGACAGCCCGAAACCAAAUAAUUCAUUUAAAUUUUUGUUUUAAAUUAUUUCAUAUUUAAAUUAUUUUGAAGCAUUUUAUAUUUAAAUUGUGAGGUUAUUCAAAUUUUAGUCUAUGUCAUGAAUUAUCUAAUCGCGCCCCUAGUUAGAUGUAUGAUUUCGAACUAUAGAUUAUAUCUAUGGAAAUGGAAGAUUAUAUUCAAUUAAUUUUACUUUAAUUUGGGCUUAAAUACUAUUAUUUGCAAUUUAAUAUAUGUUGGACCUUGUUUAAUUUUUAAUCUAAGCUUAUAUACAUUAUACCGGCCCAUUUACUUAUCAUACAUUCCAAGCCCAUAUAUAUAUAUAUAUAUAUAAUUAUUGUGUAAUUAACUUUUUAUUGAAAUGAAAAUGAGAUUAACGUGUAUCUUUCUUUCAGCUAACCAAAUUUGAUUUCACUAAGAUUUGAUUUUUUUUCUUCACAAGCAGCAAAUUUAUGAUCUCUUUCACAUUCAAAUCUUUGACGACGAACGAGUAAAUUCAAUCUAUUUAAACCUCAUUGUAUCAUCCUCAUUCCAUCAGCUUCGAAUCAUAAACCAUCAACUGAAUUCUCCAUUUGCUCUUUUCACAAAAUAACUCAAAUCUGCCACUCUCACUACAAAUUUCAGCUUUGCCACUUUCAGCUGGUAACUUUAAUUUCUUCUGUAAUUUCAUUUUAGUACAUCAAUUAUUUUAUGCAAAAACAAAACUUUCACAAAUCUUUCGUUUUACACAGCAUAUGCAUAAUCAAAUAGAAUAAAUCUUAUAAAUUACAUGAAAAAGGGGAAAUAGAAAUAGAAGAGGAAGAGAGGGCGUCUGGUGGCUGCUGCGGGGCUGCUGUCCCAGUGGCGCCACUGCUGCGCUGUAGACACGGGGGUGAAGUCGUUGGAAAGAGGCGACGAAGAGAGGGAGAGUGAGGGCGAGAGGAGGCAGAGCCGCCAGCUCCGGCGGCGGUGUUGCCGCCUGGUGGUGGCGGAAGGGGAAGACCGAGGGAGAGAAGGGAGAGGGAGAGGGAGAGGGAGAAAAGGGGAAGAAGGGGGCUGCGUAGGAAAUGGGCGUGAGAGUUGUGUGUGUGUUUGUGAAGUGUGAAUGUGUAAGUUUAAUUAGGGAAAUGUUAGAUGGGCUUGACUUUAGGUUAGUUUAAUUAUAAAUGGGCUUUAAUUGGGGCUUAAUUUAUUGAAUAAGUUGGGCUUAAUUCUACUUUUAAUAUGGCUGCAUUUACAUAUAUUUUUACAAUGAUAUUAUAAAAUUUUAUAUUUUCAAUUUACACUAUUAAUUUAAAUUUAGUUUUCAUUAAAUAUUGAGCUCAAAUAUUUUCAUAAGAAAAACUCUUUUAUAAUCUAUUAGACCAAUAAUUUUUAAAUGGCUAUAUGAUAAUAAAUUCUUAAGAUUUAAAUUACUAUUAUUAUUAUUUUUUUUAAUUCAAUUAGGCCCUUAUGUUUAUUAUUUGAAUUUAUCUGACUAGGUGCGGCGCGACUAGGACAUAACUGUUGAUCUGAAAUUAUUCAAGUUAUCUAUCAAAUCCAUAUUUUCAGGUGUGGGAUUUAUUUCAGUACAUGCACGUGGUUAAUAUUUGUCCAUUUUAAUAUUAUGUGUUUACCGUAUGUGUUGUAAAAAUAUUUAUCGCUAGGGGCCAGCAUAAUUGGUCCAGGACUUCACCGUCCUUGGUAUGCCACAAUGCGAUUUCAUGUUACAGGGUUGAAACCAUUAUAUUGUCGCCAGGGGCCCACAUAUAGGGUCCGGGACAUUAAAGUCCUUGGAUUGCCACAGUGCGUAUGGAAGUUAUGUUACGUUAUGACAAUAUGUGUUACCAUUUUAUUAACAUGGACAAUUAUUGCAUGUUCCCACAUUGAGUGUACCCUGUAUGCUCAUCCCAUAUUCAACAGUUUCAGGUGAUUGAUAUCGGAGGCGCGUGGAGAGUCGAAUGGGCGCGUCGAAUCUACUUAAAAAUAAAUGUUUCCCAAAACAUAUUAUGUUAUUUCAUGUGAUAUCUCUUGAUUAUGU